GGAGCGUUCUAUAGUAGGGUAAAGUAGAAAUGUAAAUUUCUGUGGACGAAAUAGAAGUGAGAAUGUUGGCUUGAGUAACGAAAACACUGGUGAGAAUCCAGUGCCCCGAAAACCUAAGGGUUCCUUUACAAGGCUCGUCCGUGAAGGUUAAGUCAGGUCCUAAGGUCAGGUCGAAAGACGUAGCCGAUGGAAAACAGGUUAAUAUUCCUGUACUUUUUUUAUGUUAUGACAAGGGACGAAGGAUGAAGACGUAGGUCUAGAUAAUGGAAUUCU
rnacentral:rRNA from 1 species